CAUCGUCUAAAUGAUUUCUUCCUCGCUCUAGAAGCCCUCUCUUUCACCUGAUCUUCUGCGGCUGUUCUUUUUGUUUGAACCGCCGCGUGUGCACCGUAUUGAAUCCUUCCUCUUCUUCAGUCAUUGUCGUUUCCGGGUUCCAUCAGUUUCGCCUUCCUCGGAAUAUAUAAAUUCUUAACUCUCGUUUCUCCGCAAAGAAGAAGGAAAGAAAGCCAGAACGGUAGAAGAAGUCGAAAAGUGGGGAAAAUUGUUAGGGAAAUCCCUAUGAUGUUUUGAAGAUGACAAAAUAAAUCAAAGGCUACUAACAUGUUUGAUGGUUG
rnacentral:lncRNA from 1 species